rnacentral:lncRNA from 1 species
GGGGAAGCACUUGAUGUGCUUGAACCAGUCAGAUUGGUCAUGCUGAGGGUUCUUUUGCUCAGGCUGAUGUUGUUCAGGUCCACCGUGAUCUCAGAUAGAGCCGACACAUCUCCUAAGCUGUUCUUCAUCUCCUCAUAGGAUUUGCCAUCACUCCAUUUGUAGGGGUCCCAAGCGUUGAACCACCCUGUGAAGUUGAGGGGCUCACAGCCCUGCUUCACCAGUAUGAUCGGAGUUGCCAAGUCUCUCCCUGCUGGAUGGGUCUUGAGAUACUCCUUAGCCGAGGCAACCGCCUCAUUCCUCUCAUAUGUGUUGGAGGCUUUGCCAACCCAGAGGAAAAUCUCUUCCCAAGUGUCUAGUAACAUGACAUCAUCUUCAUCCAAGUCUUCCUGGCAGAAAUCCACCACCUCUGUCAUGAUGAACCGACCCGUCUGGUUGGAGCACUCGAAGAGGCGAGGUUGGUAGUGUGUGAUCUGCUCUUGAAACCUCUUUUCACUGGCAUAAGGGGCUUUGCCUCCCAGGGCUUCCCAGAACUCUGCUGGCUCCUG